CAGGCCUCCAGGGGAGAUGGGACUACCAGGACCUCCCAGACCCACAGACAGGGUUUGCUGCCGCAGCGUGUGCGUGUACACCGGAUCUCAGAAGGGAGAUGAGACUGCCAUGAUCUCCUGGAUGCACAGAAGAGAGGGGCUUCGUCAGGAGUGUAGGCGACACUGGACCACUGGAACCAGGCGAAUGACCAGGCCCUGCAGCUGAUCAAGGGCCUAAAGGCGCACAGGGAGCCAAAGGGGUCAAAGGAGAAGAGGGACCCGCAGGACAACAGGGUAUCCAAGGAGAGCCAGAGAAGAGGGGAAACUGUGGAUUUCCAGGCGCUCGAGGACCCAGUGGACAAAAGGUGAGCUA